rnacentral:lncRNA from 1 species
GCCCCGCGGCGCCUCAGCGGCUGGGCGCCGGGCCCGGUAGCCCCUGCGGGGCGCGCAUCACCCGCGCAGCCCGCCGGGCCUCAUCCGCCGCCUCGCCCCGCGGCAGGCGACGCCGCGCCGCCCCCGCAAAGCAAUGCGGCCCAGACCGGCUCACCGCCACCCCGCCCCCGCGGCACUUCCGCCCCGCGCCGUUUCCGGCCCCACCCCCCCCGGCGCCGAUUGGCUGCUCGCCCUGCCCGUCGCGGCCGCCGCCCUCUACGCGGACCGCCGGCCGCAGCUUCUUCUCGAGACGAGGCGCGGCGACCGUUAGUUUGCUGUGAGAUGUAUUUCAUCAGAGGAGACAGCAGACUCUCACUGAAAGAAGAAGCUAAUUCAGCAACUGUUUGCUGAGGAAUUCUAACAGCUAUGUUGCUAUGGGCUUGUGGAUUACAGUUUUGGAAAAAUUUGUUAGGGUAUUCAAACAACAUGUAUUUGAAGCAGGAUUUGGAAUAGAUAUUCAGCUCCCUGAUGAGAUCAGAAUUGUUCCUGAGUUGCACUGCUUGCUUAUUUGGGUAAGUUAAUCCUUUCAAUUGUUCCAUCCUCACACCCACUGUAACAAAUCGUUGCUAAUACCUCUGGAAUUGCUGGGUCACAGCCUAAACCAAUGGUUGAGCACCAGGUGAGAAGGUGUGGCUAACCAGGGAGCUCAGGUGCAAGCAGUGCACAAGGGUGACUGGAAGGGGUGGAGCCUGGAUCUACCCCUCCUCACCCUCAUUUAAGGGUUAGCAGCCAAGGGAGUAGUAUCUCUCCAGAUACAGAUUGUACUCCUUUUGAGUUGUCACUGGUUGUUGGAAGGGAUGAGCAGUUUUUUUUCCUUCUGUGUUACUGUCUAUUACUCCAUAGCUUUUACAUCCUAGUAGAAGGCACUGUCAUUGUUUUCCACUGCUAUACAUUAAAGUAUGGUGAUUUGGGAUAUAAAGUAGUGCUGUAGUAAUCUUAAACUAAGGCAUAAAGUGUUCAUAAAAUUAAUUAUCUGUAUUCAAUGUAGAGACUCAACAGAAAAAAGGUUAGCAGAUUAUCCUAUAAAUUAAGUCUAUCUUGGCGUUCUUAUCUUCCAUUCAGGGGAGAGUGUAUUAGAAUUUACCUGCAGAUGAACUAAAAAAGUGAUCUAGUGUUACUAAACGGAGCUUGAUAAGAAGUAUGUCAUCUUGGUU